rnacentral:rRNA from 1 species
UACAGAGGUCUCAAGCGUUGUUCGGAUUCAUUGGGCGUAAAGGGCGCGUAGGCGGCCAGCACAAGUCAGUUGUGAAAUCUCCGAGCUUAACUCGGAAAGGUCAACUGAUACUGUGCGGCUAGAGUGCAGAAGGGGCAACUGGAAUUCUUGGUGUAGCGGUGAAAUGCGUAGAUAUCAAGAGGAACACCUGCGGCGAAGGCGGGUUGCGUGGGCUGGUACUGACGCUGAGGCGCGAAAGCGUGGGGAGCAAACGGG